CGCAGCGGCUUCAUCACAGGAAGUUGUUCGAGAUCUCACGCACGUGUUCAAACAGGUCCUCUGCCUCUGCGCUGUAAGCGUCUCCUGAAACAGCGAGGGUGAUCUGGAGUGACCGUGAUCUACUUCCUGUUUGCUGAGUGGAUCUCAGACUGAAUACUGGGGUGAACUCUGAAGCGCAGACGGAGACUAAGCUCGAGUCUUAACACAGUUUCUGUCAGGUCUGCGCUCAGAAAGGAUUAGAGGAGGCUCAGCGUGACCUCUGACCUGGAAGAUGUAGUCUCCGGGCCGGACGUCGGUGAUGUCCACCCACUGGCAGUCGAUGUCGUGGCGGUGACUCCGGCGGCUCUGGCUCCGCCCCCUCGUGGGCAGUACACCUGUCCGUUCCUGUUGCACUGCUGGAUGGAGAUCUCUGUGCCGAUGCAGUGUGUUCCGCUCAGAAGCACGUCCUCGGACCCGGAGCUGCUGGGCCAGAACCAGGUCUCCUGCGGGACGGACCGAAUGUGUGACUGAGGCAGCAGGAAUCCACCCAAAGUCUAAUAACGCCCGCUAUUACAGCUAAUUCAUGCACAUUAUCAAAUACUUUCCACGUUCCUCUCCACCGUCUAUUUAGCGAGAGCCGUUUUUAAACAGGCUUUUAUAAGAGUGCAAAUGUGCUCUGGUCCAGCAACUCUAUUUUGGGUUUGUUUUCUCUCUGGGUUUCCUGCUCUUUCCCUGAAUCUGUGCAGGGCUGUAAUUACCUCUGCAUGGGAAACAACAGCCUUGAAAACUAAAGUUCCACGGGUGUAAACAGUGAUUCAGCUCACCAUUACUGCUAAGAGUGAGAAUAUAGUGAGUGAUUGUCACUCAUAAGAGUCUCUUCAAGCUGCUUCGGACAAUAACAGUGGAGCUGAGAGAGUUUGUGCUGAUAAACAAGCGUUACAUGAACACACAAAUAAAUUACAUUUCUGACACCUACUGGUCACAGAAAAGAUAUAAAUUGCUGACAUAAUCCAUGUGACCAAAGGCACAAAUCCUAUUGGCUGGCCAGUUUUCUUCUCAGUGUGAUGGAACAGAGAUUAGAACAACCCACUUAGAAAUGCUGCACUAGCUAAAUUUCCACCUUUUUCUAUA